AAAACCGAGCACUACAAUCUGGACAGCCUACUGAAGGCUAAUUUAACUAAGACACUCUCUGGUCUAUAAUGAAUUGUUUGAACAUAGGAAACACCAUGCAUUAAAUCAAGACAAGUGACAGGUAAAACCAAAUAUAUUUUUUUGCUGUGGCGAUAUGCUCUGUAUUAAAGCUAAGGAGGUUGUUGUUUUUUUUUCCCCACCUUCUCUAGAUAUGCUUUCUUGGAGUCAAAAUUCAAAUACAUGGAAAUAUUUUACUGUACUGACAGUGCAUAGAUUUAAAACAAAUUGUUGGACAGUAACCUGAAAGGAUUAACUUAACAUUUAGAACAGUUGUUUCCUCCGGUGGAAAGUAUUUAUUCUUGAAAGAGCUCUUGGAAAGGCUGAGCACUGAAUACAGCGAACACCGUAACAGUCUAGAAGCAGUGCUGCAGGCUGUAAGGUCCCUUUUGUGGAUGUUUGCAAGUGAGCAGUGAUGGUUCUGUUUGAGCAACUUACUCAUUUGGGGGGGGCUUAAAUAUAUGAAAACUUACCCAUCCAUUUAAAUUAAGACUUAGACUUUCUAGUUAAAGAAAGGUAGCCUGUGAUUUGGUACAUUGCGUAAUGUGUUGUGGUUGCAGUUUUUAGCUCAUGAACUCAACAGUAGAGUAUGUGCUUUAAGAGAUUGUUCAUUCCUCUCAGGCCUGGAUUGCAAAUGUGCUUAGAAGGCUAUGUCUCAUGGGGACUUAGAAAUAUAAGUAACUUAUUUAGUGAGGGGUGGUUAAGGAAUAGUCUUUAUGUUCUUAAUUUGGGCUUUCCCCUCAUGCCAGGGUACUGUUACCACUGUAGUAAAACUUAAUGGAUGCAACUCCACACACACUGCAUGGAGGUACUAGUGCGUGAUCAACCCUUAUAUUUGCCCUUAGACGUUCAACACUUUCUCAAUAUUCUUCUGUCCAAAUUGGGAUGUUACAGCCUGCAUUGGAGGACAAUAAUAUGGGUAAAAACUUGAGAACUGAGGGUUCGGCAAUGAUGUUGCAUGGUGUAAUGUCACUGGAAAAUGUAAUCUCCACAAAGGAUUAGCAGAAUCAAAUAAAUUACAAAGUAUUUUUCUCCAGUUCCAGCAUCAUCUGAAAUAAAUAGCUCAAGAACUUUAUACUUCAGUAUGUGUAUCCACUUCAGGCUCUUGCAGCCUGCAAGUUAAGUGAGGCUUGAAACUUGUUUACUUCCUGGUGAAAGCAUUCCCACUGUGGAAGUGACAAAACACUGUGACUUUCUAACUUUCAGUUCGUCCCUCUAGUGGUGAAAGAAGUUCACCCCAUGAAUCUUUUUUUUAAAAAAUGAUGCUUAAUAAAGCUUCAGUGCAAAAAUUACAA